GCCGGAAUAGCUCAGUGGUAGAGCGCAUCACUCGUAAAUUCGUAAUGAUGAGGUCUGCGGUUCGAUCCCGCAUUUCGGCA